rnacentral:rRNA from 1 species
GUGAGUAACGCGUGGAUAUCUGCCUUUUGGUUCGGAAUAACCCCGGGAAACUGGGGCUAAUACCGGAUGGUACCUUCGGGUUAAAGAUUUAUCGCCAAAAGAUGAGUCCGCGUACGAUUAGCUAGUUGGUGAGGUAAUGGCUCACCAAGGCGACGAUCGUUAGCUGGUCUGAGAGGACGAUCAGCCACACUGGGACUGAGACACGGCCCAGACUCCUACGGGAGGCAGCAGUGGGGAAUAUUGGACAAUGGGGGCAACCCUGAUCCAGCCAUGCCGCGUGAGUGAUGAAGGCCUUCGGGUUGUAAAGCUCUUUUGGCGGGGACGAUGAUGACGGUACCCGCAGAAUAAGCCCCGGCUAACUUCGUGCCAGCAGCCGCGGUAAGACGAAGGGGGCUAGCGUUGUUCGGAAUUACUGGGCGUAAAGCGCGUGUAGGCGGUUGUUCAAGUCGGGUGUGGAAGCCUUGAGCUCAACUCAAGAAAUGCACUCGGUACCGGAUGACUAGAGGACCGGAGAGGAUAGUGGAAUUC